rnacentral:rRNA from 1 species
AGCGCAGGCGGGUUGGCAAGUCAUUGGUGAAAUCCUGAGGCUUAACCUCAGGACUGCCAAUGAUACUGCCGAUCUUGAGUGCAGAAGAGGAAGACGGAAUUCCUGGUGUAGCGGUGAAAUGCGUAGAUAUCAGGAAGAACACCGGUGGCGAAGGCGGUCUUCUGGUCUGUAACUGACGCUCAUGCUCGAAAGCGUGGGAGCAAACAGGAUUAGAUACCCUGGUAGUCCACGCCCUAAACGAUGGAUACUCGAUGUCGGGUCGCAAGGCCCGGUGUCCAAGCUAACGCGUUAAGUAUCCCACCUGGGAGUACGAUCGCAAGGUUGAA